CCCGUUCGGGUCCGUGGUUGCGCCGGGCCGGCCCCCUGGGGGCGGGCCUGGCUAGCCGAUGCCAGCCGCAGGCGAAACGGCCCACGUAAGGCGACUCUUCGUCGACCGAUCACGGUGCGGCUUAGAGGUAAGUCCUGCCUUCCCGGGGGGCCGGAUGUCCCCCGUACGAAGAGAAGGGUAGUAGUGGCGGGAGUGCCGCGAACCCCUCAGCAGGCGGAUGUGGGGACGAAGACCAGGUCGGCCGGACGGG
rnacentral:ncRNA from 1 species